rnacentral:tRNA from 1 species
GCGGCCGUGGUCUAGUCUGGUUAGGACACAGUCGAUGGUGUAUGCCUUCCAAGCCUGCAAUCCCGGGUUCAAUUCCCGGCGGCCGCACCA